rnacentral:rRNA from 1 species
UACAGAGGAUGCAAGCGUUAUCCGGAAUUAUUGGGCGUAAAGCGUCUGUAGGUGGCUUUUUAAGUCCGCCGUCAAAUCCCAGGGCUCAACUCUGGACAGGCGGUGGAAACUACCAAGCUGGAGUACGGUAGGGGCAGAGGGAAUUUCCGGUGGAGCGGUGAAAUGCGUAGAGAUCGGAAAGAACACCAACGGCGAAAGCGCUCUGCUGGGCCGACACUGACACUGAGGCGCGACAGCGUGGGGAGCAAACAGG